UGACAUUUUUUUUAAACUUUACCUUGUUAAACUUGGUUAACGGUUAUAACACGACUACCCUGCACGAGGAAGGACUCUUGGCCAACUGUUCUGUGUCGUCAGCAGCCGAUAGUUCAGCCCCAUUCCUGCAAACAGGAAGACACUAGCAACUAUGAGGAUGAUCCCACAGCCCUGUAGAGCGAGCGCUGGUACUGACUGAAAAACUACAGACCCUACAUGCUCAUGGCUUUUCAAUCACAAGCUUGAAAAGGCCUUUAUCAUCAUCUGAUUGACCAGCCCGGAGUGACAUCAUGAAGUGUCUCAUUCAUCUCAUCAGUGCAAGAACACAAACAAAACCCCUGGUGGUCUUCCAGUCUCAAAGCACAAGAGAAAAGAAUGGCAGCUUGUCUUGGAUGGUACUGUAGCUCACCUCCGCCGUACGUGACGGCUAACAUGAUGGAGGAGAUCCAGGACACCUGGCUACUUGUCACAUUGAAGAUCACCUCAAUCUCUUUGAAGAAGACAGUGAUGGACUUGGGAA